rnacentral:rRNA from 1 species
UACGUAGGCAGCAAGCGUUGUUCGGAGUUACUGGGCGUAAAGGGUGCGUAGGUGGCUCUAUAAGUAUGGUGUGAAAUCUCCCGGCUUAACUGGGAGGGUGCGCCGUAGACUGUGGGGCUAGAGUGUGGGAGAGGAAAGUGGAAUUCCUGGUGUAGCGGUGAAAUGCGUAGAGAUCCGGAGGAACACCGACGGCGCAGGCAGCGUCCUGGCCGCUUGCUGACACUGAGGCACGAAAGCUGGGGGAGCAAACAGG